rnacentral:ncRNA from 2 species
CACGCAUCUGAUUACUGACGGAUUAAUGUGGAGUACCACAGGGAAAUCAGAAUGCGAAAAAAGCCGACCGUCUGGGCAACAUUU